rnacentral:rRNA from 1 species
CUCGCUCAGAUGACAACGAGUCCGAGCGGGGGAUUACCCCCAAAUGAAAACUCAAUGAAGACAGGCCAUUGCACCUUAGAAGAUAGAAUGUGGAAUGCUUCUGUUGAGUGAGUGCUGAUUGAAGCGAGACAGGAACAUACAGUGAAUCGCCAGUAGUUCCGUAGCGACUCUUUAUUCAAUCAGUCAUAUUGCUGAGGAAG